rnacentral:sRNA from 2 species
GAGCAUGGACGCUAGGGUUCCGGUGUCGUCAGUAGUAAUGGCGACAUGUCUGGUCCGAGAGCAGCCGGCCGGUGCGACAUCGUGCAAGCGAUCAGCACCGGCUACACGGAGGGAUAAAAGCCCGGGAGGC